GCCAGCAUGGCACAGUGGUUUGAGUGUUAGAUUGGGACUCUGCAAACCAGGGUUCAAAUCCUGGCUUGGCC